rnacentral:rRNA from 1 species
UACGUAGGGGGCAAGCGUUGUCCGGAUUUAUUGGGCGUAAAGAGCUCAUAGGUGGUUCGGUAAGUCGGAUGUGAAAUCUCCAGGCUCAACCUGGAGGGGUCAUUCGAUACUGCCGUGACUAGAGUUCGGUAGGGGAGUGUGGAAUUCCUGGUGGAGCGGUGAAAUGCGCAGAUAUCAGGAGGAACACCCGUAGCGAAGGCGGCACUCUGGGCCGAUACUGACACUGAGGAGCGAAAGCGUGGGGAGCGAACAGG